GAUGAACGCUGGCGGCGUGCCUAAUACAUGCAAGUCGAGCGAACAGACGAGGAGCUUGCUCCUCUUACGUUAGCGGCGGACGGGUGAGUAACACGUGGAUAACCUACCUAUAAGACUGGGAUAACUUCGGGAAACCGGAGCUAAUACCGGAUAAUAUAUUGAACCGCAUGGUUCAAUAGUGAAAGACGGUUUUGCUGUCACUUAUAGAUGGAUCCGCGCCGCAUUAGCUAGUUGGUAAGGUAACGGCUUACCAAGGCAACGAUGCGUAGCCGACCUGAGAGGGUGAUCGGCCACACUGGAACUGAGACACGGUCCAGACUCCUACGGGAGGCAGCAGUAGGGAAUCUUCCGCAAUGGGCGGAAGCCUGACGGAGCAACGCCGCGUGAGUGAUGAAGGUCUUCGGAUCGUAAAACUCUGUUAUUAGGGAAGAACAAAUGUGUAAGUAACUAUGCACGUCUUGACGGUACCUAAUCAGAAAGCCACGGCUAACUACGUG
rnacentral:rRNA from 1 species